GUUUUGCCUUUUCCAGACUGUUGGUUUGUCAGUGUUGGUUUGUCCAGUAUGAAGUCUUUUCAGUUUAGUUCCUUUCCCUCAGUAGUAUGUUAAGUCAUGUUUUACUUUACAUUAUAGGGAAGUUUUGUAAAGGGGAAAAGUGGCUAUGGAGCUGGGAGAAUAGAUGGAAGAAAGGAGAAAGAAGGGCAUGGUACCAGAAAAUGAAUUUCACAGGCAUCCCGCUUUUGCCUAGGGCCUGCUCUGAGCUGGGCUUUAAAGAAUGGAUUUUACACUCGCACUUGUCCUCCUGAAAUCCAAAUUCCCACCUGUACAAUGAGACCUUCAAACAAAGAGCAAGUCAGAAAACAAAUCCUGCAGGAGCCUCUUCUAAUAGCUGUGCCUCUUAGUGCGUAUCGCCUGGUGGGGGCCCUAACUGAUUUUGCUCACCCUGACGUGGCUAGCACAGCAGAGGAUCAGGAUGGGAAGAGGCCCAUCGAGACGUUCCCAGGUUUUGUCACGAAUGCAAAUCUUAACCCUCAAUGAGCGUCUUUCAUCUAUCAAUUUUUUUCACCGUGAAAAAGGACUCUUACCUUGAUAUUCAUCUAGGCCCCUCAGCUGACAGGAUCUUUUAGCCUGAGUGUUCUCUGUUCCCCUUGACUCCUAACUUACUUUUUCACUAUUGAGGGAAUCUGGUUGACCUUACCAGACUACUAGUAAGGACCUCCCCUUCAGGUGAGGCACAGCCCCAGCCAGUCAGCAGGAAGUAGGCAGUAGAGAGUCACGUCAUGCUUGCCUGUGUGACAUGACCUGUGAACAGGGGCAGGCUCCAUUCUCUUGAAGGGGAUAUGGGAGAAGUGGGUGGGGGGCAGGGAACCAGACCAAAGUAUAUGGGAGACAGAGGCAUUAAUUUACUCAGGAGCAUUUUGCCAGAAGAACUAGAGAAAGGUUCCUCUGGCUCCUCCAAGAGGGAGCUACUCCAGUGAGCAGCAAAUAUGACUUUAGAUCUAAGGGAUGGUGUUUCUGAGGGACCCAGAAAAUGUCUGCUUCCCUCCCCCUUGUUUACAUCCAUUUCAGGGUUUUCUGUGAAUCAACAAACAAACAAUGAAGGCGGGAAAUGGGAGAAGAGAAGCUUGCUGAAGUCUAAACAUGGGAGCCUAGUCUGAAGCUGCUGCCUUCCUCCAGAUUUGGCAAAGUAGUCUCUCUAGACUUUUACUCCCUACCUUAUUCCUUAGAUUGGAACUCAAAUUUCUCUAGGUCUUGAGUCACAGAAUUAUAAAUAGAAAAGAGCAAAAUACACCACCUUGUGUUCAGAUCUAGAAACUGAGACCCAGAGAAGCCCUGUGACAUGCCUAACUGCUGGAACUUGCCUUGAAAUUAAGUCUUUAGCCUGGCUCUUCAUGUGUUCUGGUGCCAGGGGAACCUCUCCAUAGCUGCCCGAGAAGUCUCAGGGUACAACAGCUGCAUAGGUGCCAAGAGUAUUUGCAGACACCAGGCGUGGGAGCCUGGAGAGUGUCUGAGCUUUCAAGUGCUCACAGCUGAUGUAGGUAGAAGCAGCGUCAUCCCAGCCUGAUGAGGACCACCUGGAGAAACCAGAGACCUGAAGCCCAAGACACCCCACCUUCCUCACACAGCCUGAAGAUUGAUUCAGGGAAGUUACACCUCCCAUAGUGUGACAUGCAACUGUUAUUUCUUGAAAGAGUACCCGUCAAAAUCACUAGUCAUUAAAAACGAAUCAAGGUAAGGUUAAAAAUUACAAAGGUGAAGACUUAAUCCAACUAGUUUACCUGAAGGAAGGGAAGAUCAACUCUUGGGCAAAACCCAUCCCAACGGUGAAUAAAAGAAUCCAGACACUCAGCCAUUGCCCUUCCCCUCGGUUUUCUCAGGAAUAGGCAACACCUCUUUGAUGGAAGAGAUCUGGGUUCAGAUCCUGCUUACUAGCCAUGACGACCUGGCCAGGCAACUGCACUUAUCUGAAGUUCUGUUCACUCUUCUACAUGAUCUGGGACUAUUGUGAGAAUUCAGAGAUAACGUACAUAAGGGGCCCAGCUCUGGAUGGGCACAGAGCAAGCUGUUUCAACAGGUGAGAAGCAGGCUUUGGUUGGACAGAGCUGCCUGGACUUCACAUCCCAGUAACAGCACAGAGCCAGCACUGGACACUGGUUAGCUUAAAGCAUGGAUCUUCAACCUCAAUUAAUAUUUUUGGACUGGAUACUUCUUUGAUUGAGAGACCUAACCAGCCUUGUAGGAUGGGGCUGAAGGGUCCAAGAUCAACAUUCUAGCAGAUUUGAUUUCUGGUGAGGACCCUCUUCCUGGAUUGUCGACAGCCACCUUUUCACCAUGUCUUCACGCUGAGGAAAGAGGGGGAAGCUGGAGGUCUCUAGUGAAUUUAAAGUUUAUUUUAGAUGGCAGUAUGGUUGAUUAAUGAUGUUGCAUUAGUUUCAGGUGUACAGUA